GACGAACGCUGGCGGCGUGCCUAAUACAUGCAAGUCGAGCGAGCGAAACUAACAGAUUUACUUCGGUAAUGACGUUAGGAAAGCGAGCGGCGGAUGGGUGAGUAACACGUGGGGAACCUGCCCCAUAGUCUGGGAUACCACUUGGAAACAGGUGCUAAUACCGGAUAAGAAAGCAGAUCGCAUGAUCAGCUUUUAAAAGGCGGCGUAAGCUGUCGCUAUGGGAUGGUCCCGCGGUGCAUUAGCUAGUUGGUAAGGUAAAGGCUUACCAAGGCGAUGAUGCAUAGCCUAAUUGAGAGACUGAUCGGCCACAUUGGGACUGAGACGCGGCCCAAACUCCUACGGGAGGCAGCAGUAGGGAAUCUUCCACAAUGGACGCAAGUCUGAUGGAGCAACGGCGCGUGAGUGAAGAAGGUUUUCGGAUCGUAAAGCUCUGUUGUUGGUGAAGAAGGAUAGAGGUAGUAACUGGACUUUAUUUGACGGUAAUCAACCAGAAAGUCACGGCUAACUACGUG
rnacentral:rRNA from 1 species